AUUGAGGCCGUUGUGGUGCACGGUUGGGUAGGCGGAGAGGGGGUUCGGAGUCGAGUUUGUGUGCGAGGAAGAGAGUGAGAGAUUAAGAGUGAGAAAGAGAGGGGGCGUGAAAGAGGAGAGAUUGAGAGGCAAAAAGUGAAAUGGGGAAGAGAGAGAGAGAGAGAGAGCAGCAAUUUAGAGCAGAUAGUGCAGCAGUGCAGCACUCUGUGAGUUGGAGAUGGCAUACAUAAUUUAUUAGCCGAGGAAGGGAGAAACAGAGGAGAACACAGAGAAUGGGAAAAGAAGGAGGAGCAGAGAAAUGUAGUGGAAGGGAAAAGGAGGGCUGAGUCGAAAAGUAAUGAUGGAGGGAAUGUCUAACAGCUUAGACAGACCUUCUUGUUUACCUUCCCACUGAUACCGUUUGAAAACUUCACUCAGCCAAAGUGUGAGACAGGAUGCUUUUUCCCUCUGUGCGCUGUGAGCCAGGAUCAACUCCUCUGCCUCUCGCCUUCAUAAGACUUGUCUUCUUUCAUCAUGAUUCAUCCCUGGCUUUUUAUGAAUUAUUAAUACAGCACUUUUGUGUUACGCAGUCAGAGUAGGAACUCCUAAACUCAUCGUCACUGAGCUUUGGUGCUUGUUAUGUUCUACGUUAUGAGACAGAAAUGGUGUUUAUGCUUUCUCUUAUCCACCAAACCUGCAAUGUGAAGUCUGUUUGGCAUUACGAUUGGCAGAUGCCAAACAUAUAUGUUGCCUUCAAAUAGAGUGUCUUUUAACAUGCCAGUGAAGGAAAUUCAACAUCUUUGGCUGAAUUUAGACUCAAAUUAAUUCAGAUUAGUUUAAUAAGAUGGAGGGAAAUAACUAUGAUAAGUUGCCAUGUAGCCUAGGAAAAUUUGUGCCUUUGUGACUUUUAUAUAACAACAUCUCAACAGAGUUUCAGACAAAAAUGUGCGACGUACAUGAAGAAUUGAUUUAGGAUUUCAUAACAGAAUCCUGAAAGGUGCAACGUGUCUGCUUUGCACCUUGAAAUAACUUUGAAGCUUUAUCCCUUUCUUUGUCCUGAUUGUGUCUCACGCUCACAAAUAAACAUGGCGUCAUGGUGGGUUCUGUUUUGUUUUUUCUGUUUCUGCUGUCGUUUUUUGUAGUCGUUUGUUUUUUUCUGGCACUCACAGUGCCGCCAUUUGGCCCGGCAUACCUACUACAUCCUUUUUUGUGUGGUGCUGCACCCUGUCAUGUGGAUGCACAUUUUAUCAUUUACAAAAAUAUAUUGUGCUUGCCUCCAUGUGUAAAUAUGGCCUAAAUAUGAUGCUUCUCUAAAUGUGCUUCU